UAGGGAAUUUUUCACAAUGGGCGCAAGCCUUAUGAAGCAAUGCCGCGUGAACGAUGAAGGUCUUAUAGAUUGUAAAGUUCUUUUAUAUGGGAAGAAACGCUAAGAUAGGAAAUGAUUUUAGUUUGACUGUACCAUUUGAAUAAGUAUCGGCUAACUAUGUGCCAGCAGCCGCGGUAAUACAUAGGAUGCAAGCGUUAUCCGGAUUUACUGGGCGUAAAACGAGCGCAGGCGGGUUUGUAAGUUUGGUAUUAAAUCUAGAUGCUUAACGUCUAGCUGUAUCAAAAACUGUAAACCUAGAGUGUAGUAGGGAGUUGGGGAACUCCAUGUGGAGCGGUAAAAUGCGUAGAUAUAUGGAAGAACACCGGUGGCGAAGGCGCCAACUUGGACUAUCACUGACGCUUAGGCUCGAAAGUGUGGGGAGCAAAUAGG
rnacentral:rRNA from 1 species